UUAAUCCAGAAGAAGAGAUCGUGUGAAUAUGUUAAAUUGCAAAAAUGAAAUUUGUGCUUGAAUUUGUGUUUGAAUUUACGUCAUUGAUGAAUUUCAAUAAUGAUUUUUUUGUCAACAAAGCGGCAAAGGUGGAGAUAGGCCAGUGACUCUUCUUCAGACUUGUUUCCACCAAUGAAGUAUGCACGAAGGAGGAAAUUAUUACGAUAUUUGAAAAGGAAUCUUCGUUUGGUCCAAAUAAGGAGGCGCGUGGGCGGGGUGGCCGUGAAAAUAAAUUACCAGAGUGACUUGCCCGUUGAGGAGAAUCGGCCAGGUGUCGAGAUUGAUACCAUCCCCAUAUUGUCGCGCUGCCCACCUACGGCUAACCAUCGGGCUGCUACCAGUCCCCACGGGGGGACCUAGCCCAACAUAACCGAACGUACGACAUCCUCCCCUCCCCCCCCCCUCCCAAACUCUCUCAUCCUUCCUCGUCCGAUCGAUUAUUGUAUUCGUUUUCGAAAUAGGAAAGGAAGGAAUAAUACCUGUUAUAACCUUCUCCAAGGGAAAGAAAAAGAAGAGGAGUUUCGAGGGCGUUGCUUUUUUUUAGUUUCGAAGGGAGGAAAAGAAAGGGAAGGAAAGUUUACUCGGAGAGAAAGUUUAAAAUUACUUCUAUCUUAUAUCUAUGUUGACUGGAAAACAAUAAAUAAAAUAUACCGGUUCAGCUGAAUGAAUAUAUAUUUAAUUAUACGCGUAUCUGUUUAUAAAACAUUUGAAAUACGUGUAUCGAAGAGAAAGAAAUAGCUACCGAUUAUGAAAUAGUAAUGUUGCUGACAACAUUCAAUAAUGAAAUCAUAUAUAUAUAUAUAUAUAUAUAAAAUUUCAGUGAACUUUAAAUUCUAUAACAAUUUACUACUUAUUAUAUCUACUUAUAUCUAUUAAUUAUCGUAGAAAAAUUCUCUUUCUUCCAUUCUUGUAAUAAUUCACGAAACUCUCAACACAAUUCCGCGCAAAUUCCCCUGGAUUUCGAAUCCCCUUGGACGACGGAUGGACAAUGGUCCCCCUCCCCGACAGGGGAGAGCGAGACCUGCCAACAACCGCAAACAACGAAUCCCCCUCUCGAGAGAGGGAAUUCGUCCUCCCUCGGAUGCACCUCCCGCCGAGGAAGGCGAGGAAGACGCGGGGAAUUUUUCGUCGCCGCGCCACCCGACAACGGGCCCCGACAAUGCUCGGCAAAUUACGGCCCAAUACUCCUAAUAGUCAAAAUACACAAAAUCGGCUCGUUAAUCGGGGCGGAGGAUCUGGUAGAUGGCAGGCGCUGCAUCGUGCGACCGCAAACCGCAGCUGUAUUUUCGUUUAUCGGCGAUCGCCGAUCUGCGGAUUUUCGGUUUUUACGGCCGAGGAAGGGAAAGGGGAGGGGAGAGGCCGCCCUCUAUCCCCCCCCCGGUGAGAAUGGAACCCCGCUUUCACUUCGGUUUUUCGAGACAUUUUUUUUUUUCGAGGAUGAGGAAAGAAAAAAAGAGAAGGAGGAGGAGGAGGAGAGGAAAUAUUGAAUAUUGAAAAUAAUUUUGGGUUAAUUUUGGAUUGGAUUGGAAAAUUCGACGAGUCUGUUUCCGUUGUUUGAUUCAGUCCAAGCUUAACUUUCUUAGUUGGAGGAGAAGGGGAAAGAUGGAUUAUUUUGAACGGGGAAAUAAUUUUAAAUUACGAAUUACAUUGGACACGCGUCUCCAAAUCUUCAGUUUCAACCUCACAAUCGUAUAUAAUCAUCGAAAUAGAGAAAUAUUUUGUUAUCCAUAAUAGCACGAAUCUGAAAAUCUAGUAAUACAAAACGAGCAAAAUACAAUAAACAAAUAAAUAAACUUAUAGAUACUCUUCGACGACUUCUGUUCGAAAACUUUAAAAGUUGCAUGAUUAAAAAUUUCCAUCACGUGAUUGGUGUAUAUAUAUUCCAAAAAAUUUUCCAUCAAAACUUGAAACCUCGUCCAACAAUGAACUCGUUCUCUUCCUCGUCCCGUCGAGCGCCAACGGAGAAAGAGAGAGAUAGAUAAAUAGAAAGAGAGAGAGGGGGGGGGAGGCUCGCGGGAGAGCAGCGUGUCAGGCAGCUGUCGCCCAUUCUGCGCCAUUGUCGCGCGAUGUUUUGAGUGUUCCCGAACACUGGAGAACACCCGGUAUUGUCCUGCUCCCGGAGAUCCAACGAUUACGCGCAUCGAGAUACCAAUCUCAUCUGCAUCCCUCCUCCUCCUUCGAGCCCCUUCGAGCCGCGGUUUGGGUAUACGUGUGUGCGCGUACAACCGAAACCAAACGCGUAGAACCGAAACCGGGGAUAGGAUGGAAGGGAAAGAGGGUCGAAUAUCGUUGGACGCGAAUUUGGAUGGUCGGAUUAACGGCUAACCGCGUCGGGACAACCUUGUUAAGGGUUGGGAAAAAUUUGACGAGGCCUUAAAGAGAAACGAUUCCCCUCCCCCUCCAAUGAAAUCCUCGUUCUUGGAUGGAACUUUGCCUUCGCUUGUUUUAUAAAUAUAAUUAAAUUUUAUAAUAAUUAAAAGUGGAUAAUUAAAAGUGGGAAAUCGUGGAUUUCUUUGGGUGUGUGUGUGUGUUUUUUUUUUUUUUUUUCUUUGGAAUGAGAUAAAAUGAUUGAUGUUAAGGACGAUGAUUUAUCGUGAUCGAUAAAUGGUGGAUUUAAGGAUGGUUAAUGCUUGGAUAGUUGAAAGUAGAAAAUUUGAAGUGAAAGUCUUUUUGUUUAGUUGCGUCAAUUUUUUUUUAGUUUGUGUUUUCUUGAAAUGUGGAUAAUUGAUAAGUAGUAUUGGAUGGAUGGAAUUAUUAUUCUCGGAUGUAUAUUAUAUUUGAUUUAAAAGAU